rnacentral:sRNA from 1 species
UCACUCUGCGUCGUUACUAUGAGCCACAC